CCUACGGGUGGCAGCAGUGGGGAAUAUUGGACAAUGGGCGAAAGCCUGAUCCAGCCAUGCCGCGUGUGUGAAGAAGGCCUUCGGGUUGUAAAGCACUUUCAGUGGGGAAGAAAGCCUUGGGGCUAAUACCCUCGAGGAAGGACAUCACCCACAGAAGAAGCACCGGCUAACUCCGUGCCAGCAGCCGCGGUAAUACGGAGGGUGCGAGCGUUAAUCGGAAUUACUGGGCGUAAAGCGCGCGUAGGCGGUCUGAUAAGCCGGUUGUGAAAGCCCCGGGCUUAACCUGGGAACGGCAUCCGGAACUGUCAGGCUAGAGUGCAGGAGAGGAAGGUAGAAUUCCCGGUGUAGCGGUGAAAUGCGUAGAGAUCGGGAGGAAUACCAGUGGCGAAGGCGGCCUUCUGGACUGACACUGACGCUGAGGUGCGAAAGCGUGGGUAGCAAACAGGAUUAGAUACCCGAGUAGUC
rnacentral:rRNA from 1 species